rnacentral:lncRNA from 1 species
UUCAUGCUUAUAGAGAAGCUACUAGAGGAACUGAGGGAAGCUAAUGGAAAAACUCAAGACUUGGCCAAACAAUAGAGAAGCUAUUGGAAAAGCCGAAGAAUUGCCAAACAAGGGGUAGAGCAUGGAGAGGGCUUCAUUGAAAAAUAAAUAAAAUAUAAAAUAUAAAAACAACAACAACAAUAGAUGAGUCCUUUUGUUGUUUUUUGUUUUUUUAUUAACUGUGCUCUUUCAAAAUAGCCCAUUAUAUUUUCACCGAAUAUAAAUACAAAUAUUCGUUUCUAUGAUGGCGGUGCUAAAAACAUUUUGCACAUUUUUCUUAAUUGUAGUCGUUGGGCGUCACAUCUUACAAGGGAGGAACACCAAUGGAAAUUGUCUUUGAAGGAAAGGCAAUUUUGUAAAGAGGAAAAGAUGAC